GCAAAAUUCUAGGGUUUGUGUUUGCGGUUCCAUAAUGUCUCAGAACGGGAAGCUCAUCCCAAUCUCGACCAGCACAGCACCAAGCUCCUCAACCUCACUGAUCUUCAGCGCAUCGAUCCCUUCGUCGAGGAAAUCCUCAUCACCGCUGCACACGUCACCUUCUACGAGUUCAACAUCGACCUCUCCCAAUGGAGCCGCAAGGACGUCGAGGGAUCCCUCUUCGUUGUCAAAAGAAAUAAAAAGCAUAGCUUGGAUCUACUAAGUCAUCAAGAACAGAUGAAAAGAUUCGGACAUCACCUUAAACUAUUGUUCAGUGAUAAGAAACCAUCACAAUCUCAGACAAAACAACUCUGCAGAGGUUUCUGUCAGGGGACUAAGGUUGUUUCUCCAAACCAAGAUGAUUUUGCUAUGAUUUCACCAAGAAUUAAACUCAGAUGGGAGGCACCUGGCUUAUCUUGAG